rnacentral:rRNA from 1 species
GGGCCCGCACAAGCAGUGGAGUAUGUGGUUUAAUUCGAAGCAACGCGAAGAACCUUACCAGGGCUUGACAUCCCUCUGACUGGCAUAGAGAUAUGCCUUCCCUUCGGGGCAGAGGAGACAGGUGGUGCAUGGUUGUCGUCAGCUCGUGUCGUGAGAUGUUGGGUUAAGUCCCGCAACGAGCGCAACCCCUGUUGUUAGUUGCCAUCAUUAAGUUGGGCACUCUAGCGAGACUGCCGGUGACAAAUCGGAGGAAGGUGGGGACGACGUCAAAUCAUCAUGCCCCUUAUGUCCUGGGCUACACACGUACUACAAUGGUGACUACAGAGGGAAGCAAGACCGCGAGGUGGAGCCAAUCCCCAAAGGUCAUCCCAGUUCGGAUUGCAGGCUGCAACCCGCCUGCAUGAAGUCGGAAUUGCUAGUAAUGGCAGGUCAGCAUACUGCCGUGAAUACGUUCCCGGGCCUU